rnacentral:rRNA from 1 species
GAUGAACGCUGGCGGCGUGCCUAAUACAUGCAAGUCGAACGCUGGAGAUCUAGCUUGCUAGAUCGAAGGAGUGGCGAACGGGUGAGUAAUACAUAAGCAACCUACCCACGAAGACUGGGAUAAUCUCUGGAAACGGGGACUAAUACCGGAUAGGUAAUCGGAAGGCAUCUUCUGGUUAUUAAAGGUUAAAAACACUGGUGGAUGGGCUUAUGGCGCAUUAGUUAGUUGGUGAGGUAACGGCCCACCAAGACGAUGAUGCGUAGCCGGCCUGAGAGGGUGAACGGCCACAUUGGGACUGAGACACGGCCCAGACUCCUACGGGAGGCAGCAGUAGGGAAGUGUCGGCAAUGGGGGCAACCCUGACCGAGCAACGCCGCGUGAGUGAAGACGGCCUUCGGGUUGUAAAGCUCUGUUGUAAGGGAAGAACGGUAGAUAGAGAAUAUCUAAGUGACGGUACCUUACCAGAAAGCCACGGCUAACUACGUG